rnacentral:rRNA from 1 species
GAUGAACGCUGGCGGCGUGCUUAACACAUGCAAGUCGAACGGUGAAGCGAGAGCUUGCACUCGUGGAUCAGUGGCGAACGGGUGAGUAACACGUGAGUAACCUGCCCCUCACUCUGGGAUAAGAACUGGAAACGGUGUCUAAUACUGGAUACGACCAACCAUUGCAUGGGGUGUUGGUGGAAAGAUUUAUCGGUGGUGGAUGGGCUCGCGGCCUAUCAGCUUGUUGGUGGGGUAAUGGCCCACCAAGGCGUCGACGGGUAGCCGGCCUGAGAGGGUGACCGGCCACACUGGGACUGAGACACGGCCCAGACUCCUACGGGAGGCAGCAGUGGGGAAUAUUGCACAAUGGGCGAAAGCCUGAUGCAGCGACGCCGCGUGAGGGAUGACGGCCUUCGGGUUGUAAACCUCUUUCAGCAGGGAAGAAGCGAAAGUGACGGUACCUGCAGAAGAAGCACCGGCUAACUACGUG